AUGUUCAUCAAAUUGGACUUUAGCAAAGCCUUCGACUCCCUCUCUUGGGACUCUCUCGCCUCCAUAUAACGUUGUCGUGGCUUCCCGCCAAAAUUCUCAGCAUGGCUUCAUGACCUCCUAGCAACUGGAAAAACUGCCGUGAUGCUGAAUGGGAUCCCCGGAAGCUGGAUAAAUUGCAAAAAUGGCCUCAGGCAGGGUGACCCUAUAUCGCCCUACCUCUUCAUCAUCGUUGCUGAUCUCCUACAACAAAUGAUUCAACAAGACUGCGACCUAGCUCAUCUCAGUCACCCCCUGUUCGCGCAUCUCCCGCCCACUGUUUUACAAUACGCUGACGACACCCUCAUCAUCGCCAAGGCAUCUAGUGGCGCUCCUUAG
rnacentral:rRNA from 1 species